GACGUAGGGCGCGAGCGUUGUCCGGAUUUAUUGGGCGUAAAGAGCUCGUAGGCGGCUUGUCGCGUCGAAUGUGAAAUUUUAGGGCUCAACCCUGACAUUGCAUUCGAUACGGGCAGGCUUGAGUUCGGUAGGGGAGACUGGAAUUCCUGGUGUAGCGGUGAAAUGCGCAGAUAUCGGGAGGAACACCAGUGGCGAAGGCGGGCACCUGGGCUAACACUGACGCUGAUGCGCGAAAGCUAGGGGAGCAAACAGG
rnacentral:rRNA from 1 species